rnacentral:rRNA from 1 species
CCUACGGGGGCAGCAGUGGGGAAUAUUGGACAAUGGGCGAAAGCCUGAUCCUGCCAUGCCGCGUGUGUGAAGAAGGCCUUCGGGUUGUAAAGCACUUUCAGUGGGGAAGAAAGCCUUGGGGCUAAUACCCUCGAGGAAGGACAUCACCCACAGAAGAAGCACCGGCUAACUCCGUGCCAGCAGCCGCGGUAAUACGGAGGGUGCGAGCGUUAAUCGGAAUUACUGGGCGUAAAGCGCGCGUAGGCGGUCUGAUAAGCCGGUUGUGAAAGCCCCGGGCUCAACCUGGGAACGGCAUCCGGAACUGUCAGGCUAGAGUGCAGGAGAGGAAGGUAGAAUUCCCGGUGUAGCGGUGAAAUGCGUAGAGAUCGGGAGGAAUACCAGUGGCGAAGGCGGCCUUCUGGACUGACACUGACGCUGAGGUGCGAAAGCGUGGGUAGCAAACAGGAUUAGAUACCCGAGUAGUC